CUCUAAGAAACGCCAGUUUGUUAAGUCCAUGCUGCAGUGCCUGCCUGUAGGCAAACGCGGAACCAUUAACUUUUCAAAAACUACGCGUGAUUCUGCACUUGGACGAAAUUCGAACUAUAAUAUCAAUUAGAAAAAAGAAUAAUGCAUUACGAUAUAAAAACGACUGAAUCCGGAUGCAUGCAUAUUCUUGGUUUCUGAUGCCGUGACGUACAGAACUAGCAAAUGUUGCUGAUUAUGAAAGAAACGAAAAAAGACGAAGAGACGAUAGGACAAGUAUUAUAAUUAUACACAAAGUGAUGAUCAUUGCGUGGAAAGCUUUCGACCG
rnacentral:misc_RNA from 1 species